rnacentral:lncRNA from 1 species
CCCUCUUGCAGCCCCAUAUCAAUAUGGGUAAUUAUUUUUAUAAAUUCAAUAAACAAAGCCACAAAAAGAAAUUUUCUGUUAUAAAUAUAUUUAUACAAGGGGUGCCAAAAAUUCUUAUCCUUAUCAUGGCACAGAUGUGUAGGGAUCUAAAAUUUUGUCCUUCAUUCUUUCUUUCUUUCACCAUAUCACCUCUUAGGCCAUACACUUCUCAAACCUAUAAGAUAGUUGUUUAAUCCCAUCUUUGUAGGUGUUGGCAGAUUUGGAAGCAAAUCAGCUCUCCAUCUUCACAGCAGUAAUGAGUUCCUCAUCAUUGAAGAAAUUUCUUCCCUAUAAAUGUUUUUUUCAUAUUUUGAAAGAGGAAGAAGUUUGAAGGUGC